CAAAAUUGUCGCUAAGAUGAAUAAUAAUUGUAUUUUUCGCAAAAGUUUGAUCAUGUUUUGUAACAUUGCCAAUUGAUUGAGGUUAGAUAGUGCGUAGAUAGCCGAUUAAGAUGGAUUUACAAACUCUGCAGUUAAACAUAAGAACUUCCAUGAUAAAAACAAAAACAGUCUACGAGAUCCAGAACAUAAUCCAGAAUACGUCAGCUGAACAGCUGAUGCGAUUUGAUUGAUGACAGGGGCUGCGAGGGUGGUGCAUGCGCAGUUCAUGGAAUGGUGUCCUACGCCGCUGAAAUUUUGACUAAAAUGGUGAUUUUCCUCAAACUUUGUGACUGUUCUUUGGAUUAAUUUAUGGAUCAUCCAGGAUUUUUUUACGCUGAAACUGCUUUAUUUAAACUGGUAUUUAACGAAACAAUCACCUUAAGCGGCGAAAUUCAAACGUGUUCAAUGAAACUUGCCAUUGGAUUAAAGUCUCGUUCAGACGGUGACAUUCUAAUUCCGUGACAGCUUUCGACAUUCGAUGUCACGCCGCUAGCUGUUCACAGUCUGCAGUUUGCAGUAGCAUGUGUUAGUAUAAGUAAUUAUUUUGAAAUUGAGGCAGAAAUUAAAAAAAUCGAGUAUAUAUGAGACAGUGGAUUAUGCGUAGAAGCAAACUAGGGGCAUCAGAAACUCUAAGGGAAUUGCAAUUAGAAAACCCAAAGUAUUUUAUACCAGUGUAGCUUUGGCUUAUACAUUUCAUUAGCACCUGAGCCAGUCAUCAUCGUUUAUUUUUACUUUCGUUGAUAUGCGGCGGGCCAUCUUCGGAAAUGUUAGUGUCGUGAUCUCGGUACAAGGGCCGCUGGAGGGUCCAGCUCUUCCAAAAUUCAGGAACGCGGGUGAAAAUCCGGUGGAGUCGUGCCUGGAACUGUUGAUAGCAAAUACAUGUUUGGACAAGUUUGUAUCCCAUUUUCGGUGAUUUUCGUCUCCAAAUUGGGCAAUCAUAACUUUAAUCGUUUUGUUAGUGCGUUCUACUGGAUUCGUCUGCGGAGUGUAGACUGGGGUCAGAUGCUAGCUGAUUCCCAUAUCCUGUAGAAGCUCUUUAAACGGUCAUCUGGUGUAUUGAGUGCCAUUAUCGGCCAGGACGGUGUGCGGGCACCCGAAUUUUGUGACUAUCUGGUCGAGCUGGCUGGUAGUUCGCACAAUAACAAUUCGACUUCGCGUAUUGUCCGGGAGAAAGAUAUGACGUCGGUAAUGUCGCUCUUGCGGACAUGCUGGCGAUACUCUGGCAUCAGAUUUCGGUAUAGCCACUGCAGUUCUUGCUCUUGGUUCAUGUUACCAUCUCUUCGGAUGAGUGUCUGGAGCUCGGUGAUAUAACGAGAGGCCGGUUCAUUUGGCCUCUGCAGUCGUCGGCUAAUUUCCAUCUCCAGGUCGGCAGCAUAGUUGACGGGAAAGAUGAAGCUUCGGAAAUCUUGGAUAAAGUCCGUCCAGGUGUGCCAAUGAGUGUGGUUAUUACGGUACCAAAGGGAGGCGUCACCCUGCAGGAUCUCUGGCAUGUGCGGCAACAACCGGUUUAUUUGGAUGCCCUGAGCUUGCACGUUCCAUUUAUAUACCCUCAACGGAGACGAUGCCGGCGAGUAUCCGGAUCCUGAGGCCAUGGGUGAAGGUAUCGAGAGUGAAUAGCGAUGAUGGGCAAAGCUGUGGUAACUCUCGGCAGUGAAACAGCAAACGUGGCAAAUGCAGUUGCAGUAGUUGGUGGUCCAGGUGCUGGAAGCGCAACAUCUGAUGUCGUCGUCGGCGCUGGGGUAGCCUUUCCUAGGAGUAUGAAAUUUAUUAGCCGCCUCUUCAGAGUGUCGACAGUGCCAGUAAUGUCCAAAUUAAACUUGCGGAGCUCGGUGAUUAGCUCCUCCUUUUUGAGUGCAUACACCCGACUCACACGGACAUCAUCACAGUUUUAUCAAAAGCGCCACUACUACUCAAGAUUGGAGGUGAUUGGCUGAUUUGCGGUUUCUAUGGUUAGGGAUCCGGUUGCAGUACCGCAGUUUAAGCGCCACUUAAACCAGUGAAGUAAGUAAGUGGCACUUAGCCGUACUCGCGCUUCGGCUUAGAAAUAAGUGGGACCUAUACGCAAGCGUCGCGGGUGGGUUGACGGGUUACAAAUAUAUACAUAACCAAAAACACACUGUUGAAAUCACGUUUUGGUUCAUUCUUGUUCGGCGGAUAU
rnacentral:lncRNA from 1 species